rnacentral:rRNA from 1 species
GCAGUAGCCGCGGUAAUACGUAGGUGGCAAGCGUUGUCCGGAAUUAUUGGGCGUAAAGGGCUCGCAGGCGGUUUCUUAAGUCUGAUGUGAAAGCCCCCGGCUCAACCGGGGAGGGUCAUUGGAAACUGGGAAACUUGAGUGCAGAAGGGGAGAGUGGAAUUCCACGUGUAGCGGUGAAAUGCGUAGAGAUGUGGAGGAACACCAGUGGCGAAGGCGACUCUCUGGUCUGUAACUGACGCUGAGGAGCGAAAGCGUGGGGAGCGAACAGGAUUAGAUACCCCCGUAGUCCCUGUCUCUUAUAC